rnacentral:tRNA from 1 species
GUCCUGAUAGCUUAAAUUAAAGCACCGGUCUUGUAAGCCGAAGACUGUAGACUAAACCCUACUCAGGACAA